UCGCCGUUGCAAUGGGGCAACGCGCCCACG
rnacentral:sRNA from 1 species